rnacentral:sRNA from 1 species
AAAAUCAUUUUUUUAGCUGAGGAAAAUUGUUACGAAAAAGUUUUUGGCAGGAAUUGUUUUUUUUGGCGGGAAAAAAGUUUGGCGGAAAUUUUUUUUUUGGCGGAAAAUAAAAAUUUUGGCGCCAAAAAAUUGGCGGGAAAAGUUCAGUUUCCAAUUACAUGUUUCUAUUAGAUGAGGGUAAUUUGGUCAUUUUGUUCAAGGGAAAGGGUACUUUUAAAAAUGGAAAACAUAAAAGGGUAUUGUUGCAAAAAAAUAGUAAAAAAUGGGUAGUUUUGCAAAUCUCCAAUCAUAUAUAUACUAAGCUUCAAACUAGUUUAGUUUUGAUUUGUUUUCCGAUCCUAAACUUGAAUUAAGCUCAUGAUGUUGGGAGCCUAUAU